UACAGAGGGUGCGAGCGUUGUUCGGAAUUACUGGGCGUAAAGCGCGUGUAGGCUGCUUCAUAAGUCGGGUGUGAAAGCCCUGGGCUCAACCUAGGAAGUGCACUCGAAACUGCGAAGCUUGAGUCCUGGAGAGGAAGGCGGAAUUCUCGGUGUAGAGGUGAAAUUCGUAGAUAUCGAGAGGAACACCGGUGGCGAAGGCGGCCUUCUGGACAGUGACUGACGCUGAGACGCGAAAGCGUGGGGAGCGAACAGG
rnacentral:rRNA from 1 species